UGCUACAUCUGAAUGCCAGCUACCUAUUGCACUGCUGGCACGUAGUUGGAGACAAAGGUGCCGCCAGUUUUCCAGCUCGCUGUUGAUACAAUGCAAUACUGGUACAAAAUGUCCGUAUUCUGUGUUUUUAGUGUUGUAUGUUUGUAUAUGAGUCUUGCGUCGUAUGAACAUUACGUACAUGAGUUUAAAGUGUUCCCGCGAAAGUAGGUACUGAAUUAGCUCACGCCAGGAUUGCGUUGCGGAGAUAUUUGUAGCCCAUACAAUGUUUUAUGGCGUCAUUUACGACACUUUCUGUUUUUCUUGCCAUUGUAUGCACGUGAGUAGUGCCGCAUGUUGCGCUUGCAAAUCAUGUUCUCAAUGCCAUUUUCUUUUGGUACAAUUGGUCACCACUACAUAUCACUCGCAUACACACGCCCAAGCAAGUCCGAUAUCAAUCACUGUCCAGAAGUGCAUGAUGCAUUCAACCACGCAUAGAACACUGGCACACCAAGAACAUGAACUCACGCAAAAACGAGAGGACUAUUACACGACUUCGCAUUGGACACACCGCUAUCACACACAACUACAUCAUCACAAGAAGCCCGAGACCGAAAUGCAACACCUGCAACACUUUCAUCACUGUCAAACAUCUGCUACUCACAUGCCCACAAUACCAACACCACAGGACAAACAUGCAAACAUACUGCAGAGACGCCAACAUCCCACUAACACUCACAACACUGCUCGGGGACUUACACCCCGAGCUAACAACACUACUCAUCCACUACAUACACAACACUGGGCUGAUAAAUGACCUGUAAAUCUCCUCCCCUAGAGCCAAGGACAAAAAAGCCAAAAAAAGCCAAAAAAGAAGCCAAAAAGAAAAAAAAACAGUAUUCAAAACAAUGAGAAUCAAAAUAAAAGACCCCAGAAUGGCAAAAUGGCAAAAAAAAAAAACAAAAAAUAAUAAUAGAAGGGGCAAUCCGGCUACCCGGGAGGAGAUAGCUAGGAACCCUGUCCCACCCCUCAGCCCACCCUUACGAGCCAAGAAGACGACGGACACUUCAAGACAACGGACGGACCAACAACGAAGACGGACGACAGAACCGGGCCCAAAUACAGGACGCUGUGGUGGCCCGUAAGCCACAAAUACCAUACCAUACCAUACCAGUGCAUCAUGCAGCAGAAGAAGCUUCAUUGAACACACUCGUCAUCAUGAACGGCAUCUUAGGAGCUUCAUGAGUUUGGAUCUGUGAACAGUAAGUGGAAUGGGAGCAUAAUGGUACACGCUACCAAACCAGAUUUUUUAUAAACAAAAACAUUACGUUUAUUACCGUUUGGAGGUGAUUUGUUUUAUUUGGUCAUUGUGUCAAUGUCAUGUUUGAUCAUAUAGGUAACGAAAAGCGUACCUAUUCAAAACGUUUAUUCUUUGUCAUGAUGUGCCUGCAGGUUGUUUUCGCAGUAUCCAAUAGCAACCGUGUAUGACCAGGCGCCCCUUGGACGCCUUGUCUAGCCACGUCUUCCGGGACUGUGUGAUGACUGCCUCUGCAAUCUCAAGUGCCAGUUUCUGCCUCCGGCCUAUUUCUUUAUCAAAGGAUGUUGGUAACUGAACGACUAGCUCUGCUCCAAGAUUCCAAAUCGUUUUACGGUAUUUUAUGCCUACAAAACGUUAAUAUUUGCUGGACGCGUUGAUGCCCGAAUAGGAUGACCUUUAUUCCUAGAUACAGGCAUUCAACGUUGAAUCAAUUACGCUUCUAGCCUUCUGUUUAUUGGCUUUACAUACUUUUUAUUAAUAUUUAUCAUGUGUCUAGCCUGCAAUUCAUUUUACUCACCACCAUCGGACGUUACAACUAUAAGCUUAUAACUACUAUAUACAACUAUAAGCUAUAAGCAGCUAUUCGCUGACUUGACAUAUGAUAUUUUCGCGACGACUCGUUUCGCCCUUCCGCCAUGUUAACUAAUCAUCCGUUACAUCUUUAUGUCAACAGGUAUAGUACAAGUCAUCCUUACCGUCGAUACCGUAGAAGAAUUUGCCGUCGACCACGGAAAACAUAUUGUGCUUCCCGUUGCUGGUUGUUUUCGCAGUAUCCAAUGGCAACCGUGUAUGACCAAGCGCCGCUUGGACGCCUGGACGCCUCGCCCAGCCACGUCUUCCGGGACUGUGUGAUGACUGCCUCUGCACUCACAAGUGCCAGUUUCUGCCUCCGGCUUAUUUCUUUAUCAAAGGAUGUUGGUAACUGAACGACCAGCUCUGCUCCAGGAUUCCAAAUCGUUUUACGGUACCUUGUCCAUCACCAUCAAGAGAUCAACAUUUUUGCAGGCACUUACGUACGGCUGGUAUGUAUUCAUAUUUGAUUGUCAGCACGUUGUAGAAUGCUUUACAUUUUGUGUGAUCAUUUACUGUCCUCUUUCCUACACAAUGCCAACAACAAUGAUGUUUGUCAUCGUUUGCAUGCAUCUAUUGGGAUUGAUGUUUGCGUUUACUGACAGACGCUUGUCAACAUUUUCAGUAUUGUCCGGCGCGAUGCUGAAUGCGACCUGUUAUCUGUUGGAUCUACUCUGUGAGCCCAGACCCCAGUGCAAUGGCACUGUUCAACUACAGCGCUGGACGUCGUCUACUUUUUGCUAGAAACAAAUGUCAUCACCCGUCCAUGAACUUCGGGCUGCUCACAACUAUAUUGCCUUGGCAAGUUCUUUAAGACUUAAUAGGCUUCGGCUGCAGCACAAGCCACAUUCAUCGGCCCAAUCAUCAGUUAUUCAUCCUGCAAGUUUUAAGUCACUUCGUUGUGACCCGGACAUCGUCAUCUUUCAACGACUUCAAAUGACAUUUCAUUCAUCAUCGUCGAUCAGACUCAUCAUGUAAAGACACUUCCAUAAUGCUAUCUGCCAUCUACGUUUGUGCAGGAAGCAAAUAUCAGGUUGUUAUUAGCUGCGGGCUACUCAGUACCGACUGAACUACUGGCAGUAGUGUGCGAGCACCUAAUACUUGUAUUGUGAUACCAAAGCUAAAACAGAUGAUAGCUUAGCGUAUAGCGCCCUACCGCUUUCCACACACACAUAAACAAAACUUGACUUUGGGCAUUAGCACCAUGGCAGGAUAAACAGGCAGUUUGGCUGUUUUUCACUGCUUUCAUUGGCAGGUGUUAAUGCUCAUUCCCGUUUCAUGUGAUGUUAGAACAGCCCUUCACCAUAGUCCUGUUUUCUCCUUCGCUGUUUUCCAUAGACAUCAGAUGCGACAUGCACCCCAACGAUCGGUCAGGCGCAUCACCGUCAAUCCGGUCGCCUGUCAAUCAUUUCGUAAUCACCGUCAGUCUUCGACAUCGGCCAACACACUUAUCCACAUUAUCGCCUUACUUUUGAUCUUAUCAAUAUGCAAGAAUGAGUGCAAAAUGCAUUGCAAUAUUGUAUCAGUUGAUGUUGUAUCGCAAUGACAACGUAUCCUCACCUCACAUUUGUUGUGCAUACUUGAUCACGAAUGCUAGUUGUUAUACACAGAUUCACAUGGUGAAGUUUUACUCCGUUGGCGUUUUCUUUCCAUUCUUGUAGUCGAUCAAGAGCGAUUGCAGUUGUACAUGCGGCCUUACACAUGCGUCCCUACAUGUUAGCUGAUUGAUAUGUUGGACACAUUCCUGUGAUUCCUGAGUGUGGUUCCUGUGACUCCAAGUAGUUCUGCAUUGGUAUUGCUUCACUUAUGUUGUACCCAAACAUCGUUUCUAGUUUUGUCUUAGCUUGCAGCUGUAUGCCAUGAACACACAGGGUACUGCGCAUCUUUAUCGUGACAUUACUGUAGUUUUGUCGCCUUCGCGGAUGAUUAGGACCAUGAGCUCAGUUGCAGAUGCGUCCAGCAGCCACCGACAUUCUACACUUAGUCCUAUUAUCGGUUCUUAUCCACAUACCAACAUGAUUUGAACAUUUCACACGUUUAGUGAUGAAAUGAACAGGUAUCAUCUACUACAUUAUAUUUUCAUGUAAAGCACACUACAGUCUGUGAAAAAAGAAAACUAUUUGGAGCAACAAUCAUGCCUUAGACAGUAUAGUUGCCAUAGAUAUUACGUUGUGCAGCGGGCAGGCCGGUGCACGAAAUGGCGAGUGUGAAUGCAGGAAUGCGUGUGAAAAACUGUCUAGGUGUGGAGUGGCUGGUUUGUCUUCCGUUACGUUGUAACGGGCUCUUGACGUAGUCUUUUUUUAGUGAAACUAAUCAUCUUUCGUACUUGAAUUAACGUAAUUGAAAUUUGGCUAUCACAUUUGGAGCCAACUUAUUUGCUGAUUGCGUCAAGGGCGGGCAGCGCGGUGCGUGGAUGCCUUUUGGUAAAGCUCACGUCCUAAUAUACUAUCCUGCCCUUACCAAGCGUGCAUCCAUGUUUCCUCCAUCCGGCUCCUCGUGCCGCUGCCUGGAAUAUUAGCCUACGGCUAAUAUACCAAGAGAUGGAAAACUCUUCAUCACUUUGGAUGCCUUAUCUGUCACGGUUAUAGGGGAAGACGGAGGAACACCGACCCCCUUAACCUUUCAGGAUCUAGUCACGUAAUUUUUGGCCACAUGGUCAAUCUCUCAGUUUCAUUGGAUUGUCGCAUCAAUUUUACAAAGAUAUCAACUAAUUGUUUUCUUGUAGUUUCAUUCAUAAUUGCAUUACUACACAUUUAGUAAUGUUUACAUUUUGGGGGUAACACCGCCCAUUGGGUAACAACGCCCGAGCUCAUCAGACAAAUAUUAUUCGCAGAUUGCUGAACUAUUAAAUUUUCCUU
rnacentral:lncRNA from 1 species